UGGGGAAUUAGCUCAGCUGGGAGAGCACCUGCUUUGCAAGCAGGGGGUCAUCGGUUCGAACCCGAUAUUCUCCAU
rnacentral:tRNA from 1 species